AGCGAACGCUGGCGGCAGGCUUAACACAUGCAAGUCGAGCGGGCACUUCGGUGUCAGCGGCAGACGGGUGAGUAACACGUGGGAACGUACCCUUUGGUUCGGAAUAACGCUGGGAAACUAGCGCUAAUACCGGAUACGCCCUUUUGGGGAAAGGCUUGCUGCCGAAGGAUCGGCCCGCGUCUGAUUAGCUAGUUGGUGGGGUAAUGGCCUACCAAGGCGACGAUCAGUAGCUGGUCUGAGAGGAUGAUCAGCCACACUGGGACUGAGACACGGCCCAGACUCCUACGGGAGGCAGCAGUGGGGAAUAUUGGACAAUGGGCGCAAGCCUGAUCCAGCCAUGCCGCGUAAGUGAUGAAGGCCUUAGGGUUGUAAAGCUCUUUUGUCCGGGACGAUAAUGACGGUACCGGAAGAAUAAGCCCCGGCUAACUUCGUG
rnacentral:rRNA from 1 species